GGUCCGGGCGGUAUCUGUGUGGGCCUGGGAGCAGAGGAGAGCAUGGGAGCCAUCCUGUGAGCACUGUGCGUUGUCCUGGAGCACUGGGAGCACACGCUCAGAGGACAGGUCCCUGGAUUGCAGUGCUGCUCCAAUGGCCUGUGGUGGCUGCAGGCAGCCGCGGCCCGGGGAGCCCAAGACUCAGCGUGUGGAAGGGUUGGGAGCAGCCCUGGGUGCCUGCAAGGAUUCGGGAGGCCCGAGCAGGUCUGAAACCCUGCCACGGAGAGGCACAGGCCCCGCAGCAGUGCCUGCAUUUCAGCAGCUGCCCAUCGGAGCUAAGCACAGCCUCGGCUCAGAGGUUUGCACUUUGCUUUCCACUCCACUGGCCAAGCCAGCCAGAUGUGCAGCAGCAGCAGGAUGGGCACGAGGGCCCCAGCUGCUGCGGUGAAUCCGUCAGCACGGACGCUGGUGCCGCUGCAGCCUGGCCCUGCAGCCUGGCAGGGUGAUCUCCUUUGGCUCGGCUCCUGUGGGCUCCAGCUGCAGGGAUGGAUUUGCCUGCACUCAAGCUGCUGCUGCCAGAGCCCCUCCGUGUCAAUCUGUGCUGCCGUUGGGUUCUGCAGCUCUCUCCAGCAAGCAUGGCAUGAGCUGAAGGAGCAGCAGGAGCAGCAUGGCCGUUCCCCAGGCAGCAGGAGGGUUCAGCCCAGCACCAGCUCAUGCGGGAGGAGCAGAUGCUGAGGAACAUCCCCCACGAGACGCAGGUGGCCAAAGAGGCUGGGUCAGGAGAGUCCCAUUUCAUUCUUGAUGCUUUCUUUAAGAGAGGCAUACAACUGAGCUCCCUCAGAGAAGCAGCAUGAAGUGCAUGAAGGAUGCUGGCUGCACUCAGUACAGACAAGGCACAUUGGAGUAGGUUAACAAGAUGCUUGACAUUUGCCCUUAAUGGUCAUUGUCUUCAAAUGCAUCAUUCGGGAGUGAAGUUGCUUGGCAUUUGCAGUUGACUACUUCUUCUCUGGCCUUUGGAGUGAAGGAAGGGAAAAACCAGAGUUGAAGAUGUCAGCUCUGUGCCAAAAAGGAGACCUUCUUCACCUGCUUCUCCUGUGCAAGCUCUUCUGUCUGUCUGCUGAGAUGUUUCUGCCUGUUUCUCUGGCAGAGAAGUGUUUGCUUUUUUGGCUGGCGAGCUGACCAUCCGUACUACCGUCGCCUUGAAUGCCUCCAACCAGCAGUGUUUGCUGCCAGACAGACACCUGGAGAAGACAGAGGACAUGGUUAAGUUCAUGAAGGAUAUCUUGGAUGGUGCUGCUGAAGCACAGGCUGGUGAUGGACUUCUGCAACGAAGCAAGAGAGUCAUCUAUGAGGCCAAGGCUGCUGUAAUGGUAGAGUUCAUUGCUUAUUCAGUGAGGUGAUGCUCUUGUCAGUCAAGGACUUAGUUGCAGAGGCUUUAGAAAUGCUUUGAUGUAAGCUUGUUGCUAUGCUGUGCCUAGUGUAUCUAUUGUCACUAUUUAGAACUAGGCUUAAACCAAAUGAACUUCUGGAUUAAAACAGCCAAUCAUGUCUGCCACA